CAAUAGCGUAUAUUAAAGUUGUUGCGGUAAAGAAGCUCGUAGUUGGAUUUCUACCGAAGAUAGCCGGUCGGGUCUUCGACCUUGUAUCUGGUUUUGUCUUUGGUAUCCUCAUAGGGAACGUUUCUGCGCUUUAUUGCGUGGUGCGGUAUCUAUGACUUUUACUUUGAGGAAAUUAGAGUGUUCACGGCAGGCAAACGCCUUGAAUAUAUUAGCAUGGAAUAAUAACAUAGGAUCUUCGUCCUAUUUUGUUGGUUUCUAGGGCUAAGAUAAUGAUUAAUAGGGAUAAUUGGGGGCAUCUGUAUCAACGCGUCAGAGGUGGAAUUCUUGGAUUGCGUUGCGACAAACUACUGCGAAAGCAUUUGCCAAGGAUGUUUUCAUUGA
rnacentral:rRNA from 1 species